rnacentral:rRNA from 1 species
GACGAACGCUGGCGGCGUGCCUAAUACAUGCAAGUAGAACGCUGAAGAGAGGAGCUUACUCUUCUUGGAUGAGUUGCGAACGGGUGAGUAACGCGUAGGUAACCUGCCUUGUAGCGGGGGAUAACUAUUGGAAACGAUAGCUAAUACCGCAUAACAAUGGAUGACACAUGUCAUUUAUUUGAAAGGGGCAAUUGCUCCACUACAAGAUGGACCUGCGUUGUAUUAGCUAGUAGGUGAGGUAAUGGCUCACCUAAGCGACGAUACAUACCCGACCUGAGAGGGGGAGCGGCAAACCUGGGAUUGAGACCCGGCCCAAAACCCUACGGGAGGAAGAAGGAGGGAAUCUUUGGCAAAGGGGGCAAAACUGAACGAGACACGCUGCGUGAGAGAAUGAGGUUUUCGGAUCGUAAAACUCUGUUGUAAGUCAAGAACGGGAGUGAGAGUGGAAAGUUCACACUGUGACGGUAGCUUACCAGAAAGCGACGGCUAACUACGUG